CAGUCUUUUAGUGAACCCAUGUCUCUAGUCUGCGAUCUUCACAUGUUUUCUUUAUAUACAAUUUCCAGGUAAUGAUACUUGGCUUGAGAAGCCCUCUGUCAUCUUUCUUACACAACGCCUACAUGUGUGAGCAAGUUGGAAUAAGCCUCUAAAAUGUCUUCCACCUUGAAUGUUUGGAUGAAGUUGACCACCUUGUAUGAUAAGUUUCUGUGGAGCAAACAGGACAAGCUAUAAAAAGAAUGCUGGCUGCCCAGUAAAAAGGACACCGGCAAAGGGGUAACAUGGCACCAUUCAGGAAGCACCAGCCUGGGAGACAGAGGACAAGGGAUAAGGGAAUAGGAUAAAUAAAUAGGUAAAGUACACCACUGCAUCAAGUCGUGAAGAUAGUGUAUAUACUGUACUUUAUGGGAGACUGACUCAAAUACUUAAUGAAGUAUAUGAAAGAACAGAGAAGGUUUCUUGAAGUGUGUUCUCUGAAUAGAAUAUUAAAGGCAGGAUGAAUGUUCACAACUAAAGGCUUAAAACUUCCACUGGACAAUUCCUGUCAGCUCAGUAAGAGCAAACCUGCCUGGGAGGUUCUACAUCCUACCCCAAAAUGGGCCACCUCCAUUGCCUGGGGAAGCGACCACUUAAUGACCCACUGAAACGAGGGUCAUAGAACUGGUCCCCUUGCAUCAGGGUAGUAGAGAUUGCAGGGAUCCCUGGGUAGCGCAGCGGUUUGGCGCCUGCCUUUGGCCCAGGGCGCGAUC